rnacentral:lncRNA from 7 species
GACGGGAGGAAGAGGGUGAAAAAGAAAAAAAAAACACACACACACACACAGUAGAAGAUAUGGACAAUGGGAUCUCUGCAUUUCGGCUAUGCAUGUGUAUACAUAAGCCCACGCCCGCUGUGAAAUAAUUUCCUACUGUGAUUUGUUUCCUGUGUUAUGGGAAGCACACUGCUAGAUGUUGUGAUUGAUUACGCUAGCUAGCCCUUUCUUUGUAGUAGUGAGGUAUUGGUCGGUUAACGUCAUGUAUUUCGACAGCGAGUAGCAUCAGCAGCAUGCUGUCUGGUGUCUUGUAAUGGUUUUUUAUCUUUAUAAGCUGGGGAUGUAUUAGCCUCUGAUUGACCCGCCCUUUUUUUAAUUAAGUAUUAAUCGUGAUGGUGAU